AUCGCCGCCUCACAAAUUCCAAUAGAAAAAGGGUCAUCAACCUGGAGGCACAGAGUGUUGUAGUUGGUACCAACUAAGAAAAAAGGGUUCCUCGCUCUACGCCUUGCCUGAUAUUGUGGACGAGAAUACGGAGAGAAUUCGUUAGAAAACCAGAAUAACAUAAGUCCAUAACCAGGAGGACAAACACAAAUUCCAUCCGCGGAAGGUACCUACCUUUGUACAUAUUUGAAAUGAAGCAAGAUCGGACCUCAUGGACCUCAAAAAAAGGAAAACUCUAUCUCUCUACUUACAUAUGUAGUUAAACUUAAACUAUACAAAACACUCACCUUCAUCCAGCAAACGUUCCACGUGAUUGAAAACGUUCGGAAAAGCUGCCAAUUGUUUCCUGUCCUUAAGUAAUUGAGCCAGAUAGUCGGCUAUGCUCUGUGUGUUUUGUUGUUGUGUGUUAUUAUUUUCGCAGACACUCAUUUUGCCGUUUUAUUAUUUUUAUUUUUCUUCUCCUCUUUUUUUCAAAUCAAAAAAUAAUGAAUAAAUAUACAGUUAUAGCAAUGAUAAUUUAUAAUUUAUACGAGUAGUAGUAAAAACUUCCUUAAACUUUUAUAAUUUAAUUUUUAUUUGAUUAUAGAAAAUAAAAUAACUGCAACUCAAAACAGGUACUUUUUUCGUAUCAAAAGGGAUGCCACUUCAAUUUUCUUCUUUUUUUCUUUCUUUAUUUUAUUUUUAAUUUGA